rnacentral:rRNA from 1 species
UGCAAGUCGAACGAACUCUGGUAUUGAUUGGUGCUUGCAUCAUGAUUUACAUUUGAGUGAGUGGCGAACUGGUGAGUAACACGUGGGAAACCUGCCCAGAAGCGGGGGAUAACACCUGGAAACAGAUGCUAAUACCGCAUAACAACUUGGACCGCAUGGUCCGAGCUUGAAAGAUGGCUUCGGCUAUCACUUUUGGAUGGUCCCGCGGCGUAUUAGCUAGAUGGUGGGGUAACGGCUCACCAUGGCAAUGAUACGUAGCCGACCUGAGAGGGUAAUCGGCCACAUUGGGACUGAGACACGGCCCAAACUCCUACGGGAGGCAGCAGUAGGGAAUCUUCCACAAUGGACGAAAGUCUGAUGGAGCAACGCCGCGUGAGUGAAGAAGGGUUUCGGCUCGUAAAACUCUGUUGUUAAAGAAGAACAUAUCUGAGAGUAACUGUUCAGGUAUUGACGGUAUUUAACCAGAAAGCCACGGCUAACUACGUGCCAGCAGCCGCGGUAAUACGUAGGUGGCAAGCGUUGUCCGGAUUUAUUGGGCGUAAAGCGAGCGCAGGCGGUUUUUUAAGUCUGAUGUGAAAGCCUUCGGCUCAACCGAAGAAGUGCAUCGGAAACUGGGAAACUUGAGUGCAGAAGAGGACAGUGGAACUCCAUGUGUAGCGGUGAAAUGCGUAGAUAUAUGGAAGAACACCAGUGGCGAAGGCGGCUGUCUGGCUGUAACUGACGCUGAGG